CACCCCCACCCCCUUCCUUUCUUCCCUUCCCUUCACAGGGGGGUUUUGGACCCCCACUUUGGGGGUGGCUGCUCCUCCUUGAUCCUCUGGAGAAGGGAUUUGGGCUCCUCCAGUUGGAGGUGCCCCUCCCGCAGCAUCACAAGAGAAGGGAUCCCCGGCUGGGGAUGGGGCUCCCAGCACAGCGGCCUCUCUGGAGAAUGGAUUUGGGGACCCCCUCCCCUCCUCUCCCCCCCCCAGUUGUGUGGUACUGCACUGGGGGCACAGGGGUAGGCCCUCCUGUUACACCUCAAUCCUGUAGAGCAGGGAUUUGGAGCCCCCAGUUGGAGGUGGGACCCCAGCACUGUGACCCGUUGGAGAAGGGAUGUGCGGCCCCCAACAGGGGAUGCCACCCCACCCUAUUAUCCUCUGGAGAAAGGGAUAUGGGGACUCCAGUCAGGGGUGGGACCCCCAAACACUGUGAUCCUUUAGAAAAGGGUCCUGGGCACUCCAGUUGGAGUUGGGCUUCCCCAGCGCUCGGAGAAGGGAUUUGCCCCCCUCCCCAGCGGGAUAGCACAGCCCUGGGGGCAGAGGGAUAUGGGGACCCCAAUUGGGAUUAGGCCUCUAUUGCACCAUGAUCCUUUGGAGAUGAGAUUUGGGCCCCCCUCCCAUUGGAGAUGGGUCCCCCAUAUACUGUGAUCCUCUGGAGAAGGAAUUUGUGGACCCCUAGUCGAGGUUAGGCCCCUGUUUUGCCACGAUUCUUUGGAGAAAUGGUUUGAGGACCCCAGCUGGGGUUAGGCCCCCGCUGCACCACGAUCCUCUGAAAGAAGAUAUUUGGGAUCCCCGUUGUAUGGCAGAGCCCUGGGGUUGUGGGGAUGGGCCCCCCUUGAAGCCUUUGGAGAAGGGAUCUGGGAUCCUCAGUUGGGGUUGGGCCUUCCAGCACCAUGGCCUUCUGGAGGAGGGAUUUGGUCCCUCCGUGGGGCAGCCCUGGGGGGCACAGGGAUAGGUCCCCUAGCACCACAGUCCCCUGGACACAGGAUCUGGAGACCCCAACUGGGGAUGGGGCCCGCUUUGCAGCCUCUGGAGAAGGGAUUUGUGGAUGCCCCCCCAGCACUAUGAUCUCUGAAGAAGGGAUUUGGCACCCCCCCUCUCCCCCCAGGUUGGGUGGCACGGCCCUGGAGGCACAAGGAUGGCCCCCCACUCCCCCUCCAGCACCACAAUCCUCAGGGAGGAUGCUGGCAGCCCAAGCUCCCCUGGUUGGGAAGGAUGCUCAUGGGUUUGGUGGGGGGGGACCCUUCUUGAGGAGGGUUUGUUCCUCCGCCAGCAUCCACUGCGCCGCAGGGAGGCUCGGUGUUCCAGGCAGCGUUGUCAGCUCAGCUGUAAAACCCCUCCAAACCUCCUCCCCCUCCUUUUUGGAGAUGGGGAAUAAUCUGUUGUUAAUAUUGCAUCGCGUCGUUCCUCCUAAAUUUAGCUCGUUCUUCAUUUUCUGGCUUAAUCAGUCGUCUCUUUCGUCCGCCGGUUCUCUUAAAUUAGCUCAGUGCUGCAAUAUUUGGGUUGCAAAUACUGCAGGGGGAGGUUUGCAUGAAAAGGAGCUUCUUUUUUGAAUUGGUCAAAACAAAACAAAAAGCCAUCCGGCAGCCUUUGUGAGCCCUGGGAAUCUUGAGGCUUCCUUCAGCCCAUUGGGGUUUGAAAUGGUGUUCUUUACCCGGUGAUGGAUAGCGUUCCCUUUGCAGUGCUGUGUUUGCUGCUCAACGCCUCCGUGGUAGAGAUGGAGGCCAAGGGAGGAAGGGAAAAAAAAGAGAGAGAGAGAGAGAAAGGGUAGUUGGGAUUCUGCAGGGAAAUUCCUGCAUUGCCUGAGAGCUGCUGGGCAAUGGGGUUGGUGUGAGUGCUCCCAUUUGGGGGCUUUCUUGGUGGGUUUUUUUUAGGCUUAAAAUGUGUUUCCCAGGUUGUGUUUUUUGCUGGAGAGCGAAUGCAAUCCUGUGUUUAUUUCUUUUGGGGUUUCUGGUGGAGCUGCCUGAACGUCUUCUGUCUGUUUAACAGAGCUGCAGUGUGUGUGGCUUUUUUGCAUCGUUUUAUAACAGAACUCAUGAAUUAAGUUGGUUCAGAAGGCAUUUAUAAGCAGGAGUAUUCUGCUCAAGUAAUGAUUUCCACCCUGUGUGUUUAUUGCUAGCAGCUAAUCUCAGUGCAUCUCCUGCAAGCUGCCGUGCCUUCAUUGCCCAGCACUGGAGCACCCACUGGAGCAUCCAAUGGAAAAAGAAGUCACCCUCUUUGUUCAGCUGACACACCGUGGGGCUGUGUUUGUUUGGUUGGCACCAGGGAGAUGGGAGGAAGCUGCAAUGUGACGGGGCUGGGUGUUGUGUCACCAGGAUGCCCUCUCAUUGUGCUCUAUGGGGUGGGUUGGCUUUGCUCACAGUGGCCCUGGGCACCCUGGUGCCUGCUCACCAAUGGGGCUGUGGUGCUGAGGAUGCUGCUCUUGCAGUAGGUUCCUCCGUUUGGUUCUGUUAUCCUGAGCUAAUAUGGUGUUGUGUUUGUCAGCAGCACUGGAAAGGUCGGUGUGAGCGUGUUCGUGUCUGUCUGUUUGCAGGGGAAGGGUUCUUUGUUGUGGCCCAUGUGUGCACGUACAUAAAUACACGCUCUGUGUUGACACUGUCUUGCAGGAAUACAUUCAAGUUAUUUAGGGAAGCAGUCUUCCAGUGGAAAAUGAGCCUCGUGCUGUUAGGGCCUGCAUAAAGCUAAGUGCUUCAUGCUGGGAAGGCUGAGUUUGCUGGGCCUCCUGCUGUGGUUUGGGCACUGCUGGGGUGCAAUUCAGAGUCAUAGGAUGGCCGAGGUUGGAGGGGACCUUAAAGAUCUUCUAUUUCCAAGCCCUGCCACGGGCAGUUUCUGCCAUUCUGCCAUGGCUUCUUGUAGGAGAAGGUGCCCAUGUCUUUGGUUCUGCCCACCAACGUCACUUUCCUUGGAUAUCCCAACGCAGUGCACUUUGGAUAAACCCAAUAGCGGGAUGUGCAGUCAGCAGAGCACCUGGGCUGUGCUGUUCUCCUGUUUUCAUAGAGUCAGCUUCGGUUGGAAGGGACCACAAAUGAGCACCCCAAGCAACGCAGCACGCCACAACUGCUCUCUCUUUUGACACGGUGGGUUAUGGCUGUAUGGGUUAUGCCUGCUGCCCAGCGAGGCAACCCUUUGCAUUCAGCCACCCCUUAAGACCACGGAAUCACAGAAUGGUCUGGGUUGGAAGGGGCCUUUAAGAUCUCCUUUAGUGCAUCCGUGUGCUCUGCCAGCAGAACGCUGCUGCGUGUGGCCACGGCUCUGCUGAUGCGGUGAAACACUGCUGCAGUCCUGCCCUGCUCUCCCUUCUGUUCCUCUCCCCCCCCCCUUUAACUGCUAUGGCAAGCUUUGCUCUGAACACUUGAAUAGAUUUGUCUAUUAUGGUUUCAAAAUUGUUCUUAAUUGGAGCAGAUAUUGAGCUGGCCAGAUGUUGGUUGUCUUUUCCAGCCCAGACUUAACUCUUAGUAAGGGUUGGACUGGAAAUAAUUGCUUUACCCCAGGAUGGUAUUUCGUUGGGAAGGUUAAUCAAGUCCACUUGAAAAAGAGAUUACCUUAAAUUUGCUGCAGCUGGAAAGGACAAAGAUUAUCAUUGUCAAAGGCACUGCGCGUCAAAACUCACUGGAUCUCAUUCUUUAAAGGAGGGAACUUAAUAAAAAUGUGCUUAGGAGAAGCCCUGGAGGAAUGUCUGAGAACUUUUAAGGCUAAAAUAGCAGUGGUAACAAGAUGCAAAUGUUACGCGUAGAGCCAAUCAAAAACAAAUCACUUUUGUAUCCCUCCAGAAGAAUGCAAUCACGGUGCUGGAAUUGUGUCCACGUUUCAAUUGGUUACAGAGCUGGCAACAACGCAAAAGCCACACAUAUAUAUGUGGGUAUACGUUUAAUUCUGGUGUGUAGGUAUAUUCUGGUGUAUAUAGGUAUGCAUUUAAUUCUGGGAUGUGUACUUUUAUACUUAAAAGGGGCGGUUGUGUUGCAAUGAGGUUGUUCAUGUUUUGCACCACUUCCCAUAUGGAUGCAGCCCGAUGUCAGAGAUUUCAGGUAGCCCUCAUAGAUGUGAAUCACAGGAUCAAUAAGGCUGGAGGAGACCUCUGCCCCAACUGCCCAACCAGUGUGAGGUCUGAUGUUAAGUGCUCACCCAUGGGAAACCGGAUAUUCAGACUUAAAAAGAAGAGUUUACUCGCCCUGUAAGGGCAAGAGACUGGGAUUUCUGGGCUGUAGUAAUGCAGGAAAAGUUUGGGAGGAGAGCACAGGGCUCCCUUUGAUCCUUCUAUCCAGCAGUGCUACGCUGAACCGAGGGAUUGAGGCUCUAUUUGCUAAAUACUUAACCAGAUGAACAUUGUGCCUUAUUAAACUGGCUUGCAAUGGGAGCCACUGGGGUAGGGUUGAGAUGCUAGGACUGAUUUCAAACAGCGUGUUAGCCGUUCAUUCUGUGCUUUAUCUCUGCCCAGCUAUUAGCUCAGAACCCCAAUUAAAGCAAUGCAUUUGCAGACGAAGUGGAUCGGAGGGAGGAAUCGCCGUGCCGUGAGUUUCAGAGAAACUUGGGCUGUGCUCUUCAAAGAGUGGCUUCCCCUGUUGAAAGAGAACCACAACGCUUUCUGCGUGUGUUGAAUUCACCUUUUAUUCCUCAGUGACUCAUGGUGGGAAGCCUUGGACUUGGUGAAAGGGAGAAACCAGGCAGAGAGCACGGCUGUGGGGCUGCAAACCCCCUCCAGGUGCCUCUGAUCUCCAACCUAUCAACCCCCCCACCCUCCCCCCGAGAUCCUUCCAACGUAAGGGUGAGGCAAAAACAAACUUAAACCCGAGCUAUUUCUGGCUCUUCAUCAUGGGUAAUCACAGCCUUUCUGCAGAGAGCACUGGGAUGGAGCUGGAGGAAGCGCCGAGCCCAUGGACAGCUCAACAGCUGCUUUUUUGUGGUUGGGCAUUUGCGGUGAAGCUCUGCCUGGUCUUAAGUUAGCUUCCUGCAUUUCCUUCUCUGUGACUAACUGGCUAUUUUCAGUUUGCUGGAAGUGUUCACAGGAUGUUGCUCUUUCUGGCUCAAGUCUCUAUCUUAAACGUAAAGUCCAGCUGUUUUCAUGGAAUCAUAAGGAAAGAGCUCUAAGGUCACCAAGUCCAACCAUCAGCACGUCAUCACCGUGCCCAUUGACUGUGUCCCUAAAUAGAACCAUUAAGGUUGGAGAAGACCUCUAAGAUCACCCAAGUCCAACCAUCAACCCAUCAUCACCGUGCCCAUUGGCCCUGUCCUUAAGUAGAAUCAUUAACGUUGGAGAAGACCUCCAAGAUCACCAUGUCCAACCAUCAACCCAUGACUGCUGUGCGCAUUGGCCCUACCCUUAAAUAGAAAUCAUUAAGUUUGGAGAAGGCCUCCAAAGUCGUCACAUCCAUCCGUCAGCCCAUCACCGCCAUGCCUGCUAACCAUAUCUCUAAAUAGAACCUUUAAGGUUGGAGAACACCUCCAAGAUGACCAAGUCCAACCAUCAACUCAUCACCACCGUGCUCACUGUGUCAUAAAAUCAUUAAGGUUGGAAGAGACAGCUAAAAUCUUCCAGUCCAACCUCAACCCUGCCAUGCCCACUGAGCCCUGUUGUGUUUUGCUUGGGUUUGUGCAAGAAAGGAGAUCUUGUUUGGUCUAAUGUAACACGAUGUGGUAGUUGAACUGAAUUUGGUUUAACUGAAGCCCUUCUGCAGCCUUGUGACCAGUUCACAGUGGAAGAUUAUCUUGUUCCCAGAACCCUGAGCUGAUUUGAUAAGCAGAGAGCAGGGAAGCUGCCUGGCUUCUCCAGGCUAUUAUUUUCUACGUUUUGCUCUCUUGUGGUGUGUUUUGUAUGGGUGUCCUUGGGCUGCUGUCACGUGCCAAUGUUAGCUGCAAGUGAAGUGACUGAAUGCAUCUCCAUUUUAUGUUCAGAACAGGAGAGAAGUAGUAAAUUUGCUGCAGUGUGAUGUGAGCGCUGUAUGAUCGUACAUGAUGAGGAUGCACUGAUAGAUCAGAAGCUUUUGAAUAUAUUGUUGGAAAGCCUUGGUUUGAGGUUGGAGAUGCCCACGCUUGCUGGUUAAUGACUCAUAUUGGGAGGUGGCAUUUGGUUUUGGUGUGAAAGAAAGAAGUCGUGUAUGGCAUUCAGUAAUCCCUGGCUGCCUCUGGAUCUCUCUGCUCCAAAGCAGGCAUGAAAAAUCCCAGUGGUUUACCAGUGCCUGCUGGUGAGUUCAGUAACCUGGAAAUGAAAUCAUUAGUGCCAUCCCUAAGACAUAAGGGUCUCCCCCUCCUGCUUUCUGUGCUACCAGUGGUGCUGGUCAGCGUGCAAAAACAGCCUUGGCUCACACUCUGGGCACACUAAUAAGCACAGUGCUGCCAUCAGGGCUGGUUCUCAGGGUGAAAAAUAGAAUUCCCUCUUGCAGGCAUAAGGCAAUGUGACACAUCCCCCCUAUAGCUCUUCCUGUAAAGCAUUAGCUGUGUAAUGAAGCACUGGGCAGCCUGGAUUCUGUCCUUACUCUUCCCCCAAAUACCUUCCCCAUGACUCCACCAGCAUCCCUGACCUUUGGUUGUCUCUCUGUUCCACGCUGCUUUGAAACUCUCCAUUCUCAUAAGAGAAAGGGAGAAAAAGGAGUGCGGAGCACUUAAGAACUCCUAAUUCACAGGGCAAUGUUUUUCCACUAAUCUGUAUUCUUACCCAGCACGUGGAGCUGCUGCCUGCCAGCAGGGACAAAGCGACCCUGGGAACGAAGCCCCUCCUGCAGCGAUGCCAUACAGGAUUUCAGCCCUUCCAGAAUGGCUCUGGGACUUCAGUAAGCUCAUUUGGGGACAGCCGUCCCUUGGGUUAGCUGGGCUUGGGGCUGUGACUCAGCCUGGAGCUGCAGGCAGUGAGCUCACUGCCUGCCAUGCUGCUCCUCUGACAGCCCUGCUGCCUUCAAACCAAGUUUGUCCUGCAGCUCCUCAGCCUUCCAUCAUCUCCUCCCUUCCCUAAAUAGCACAGGCAUUCCACUGCCACAGCUUUGCAACCCACUAAGAACCACGUUGCUCCUUUAGCUCAGGUAACGUAAGCAUUCGCUCUGCAAAGCAGAUCUCCAACACCAGCCUGUGUUCAUCCCAUUCUCCUCGUUGUUCAUCUGUGCAUUAAGUACUGAGCAGUUAUGUCACUGGGAAUUGAUGCAACAACAAAAACAGCCAUUGUGUCGGUGUGAAUUUAAGGCUGAUCUGCCCUUCUCCAAAUACUGAAGAAUGCCUGAGCUUGAAUGCUAUAUCCUCCUUGGUGUCAUCUUUAUUAAUUUGCUCCCAUUUCAAUGGCAGGGUACUGCUGUUUAAUGGUACUUCUGUAAAGACCAGUCACUGUAAUUAGCUAGGAAUACUAAACUAUAUUAAUCUGCCCAUUGUACUAAAGUGAUUAAAGCAGCUUAAACACAGUAAGCACCCUCACGGUUCUUGGAGGGCUGUGUCAGGAGUGCUGUGUGUUUCCUCAAGUGUCACAGCAGGCUUUCAAGAGCUGUUUACUUCCUACCUUUUGCUAGCACUUGCAGUCUUAGAACCCCGAUGUUGCAUAUAAAUACUGGUGGUGGGUGAACAGUUGGUCUGGCUGAUCUUAAGAGGUCUUUUCCAACCUUUAAGGUUCUGUGAUUCACCUUUGCAAAGAAGAUCAUAAAGUAGAGGUAAGAUAAAGCCGGGUGCACAGGAACACA
rnacentral:lncRNA from 1 species